UACGGAGGGUGCAAACGUUGCUCGGAAUCAUUGGGCGUAAAGCGCACGUAGGCGGUGCAGUAAGUCGGAUGUAAAAGCCCUCGGCUCAACCGAGGAAGUGCAUUCGAAACUGCUGUGCUUGAGUACGGAAGAGGGUCUCGGAAUUCCCGGUGUAGAGGUGAAAUUCGUAGAUAUCGGGAGGAACACCAGUGGCGAAGGCGGAGACCUGGGCCGAUACUGACGCUGAGGUGCGAAAGCGUGGGGAGCAAACAGG
rnacentral:rRNA from 1 species